AGACGUCUACAUUAGAUACCCGUGUACGUCCCAGCCGUAAACUAUGCGCGUUAGGUGUAUCGGUGACCACGAGUCACCGAGGUGCCGAAGGGAAACCGUGAAACGUGCCGCCUGGGAAGUACGGUCGCAAGGCUGAAACUUAAAGGAAUUGGCGGGGAGCACCACAACGGGUGGAGCCUGCGGUUUAAUUGGACUCAACGCCGGGAAGCUCACCGGAUAAGACAGCGGAAUGAUUGCCGGGCUGAAGACUCUGCAUGACUAGCUG
rnacentral:rRNA from 1 species